rnacentral:rRNA from 1 species
CAGUCGCCACGGUAAUACGUAGGGGGCAAGCGUUGUCCGGAAUCAUUGGGCGUAAAGCGCGUGUAGGCGGCUCGAUAAGUCUGCUGUGAAAGUUCAGGGCUCAACCCGGAAAUGCCGGUGGAAACUGUCGAGCUUGAGUCCGGAAGAGGCAAGUGGAAUUCCUGGUGUAGCGGUGAAGUGCGCAGAUAUCAGGAGGAACACCAAUGGCGAAGGCAGCUUGCUGGGACGGUACUGACGCUGAGACGCGAAAGCGUGGGGAGCAAACAGGAUUAGAUACCCGUGUAGUCCCUGUCUCUUAUAC